GGGGGAUAUUGCACAAUGGGCGAAAGCCUGAUGCAGCAACGCCGCGUGAGGGAAGACGGUUUUCGGAUUGUAAACCUCUGUCUUUGGUGAAGAAAGAAAUGACGGUAGCCAAGGAGGAAGCCACGGCUAACUACGUGCCAGCAGCCGCGGUAAUACGUAGGUGGCAAGCGUUGUCCGGAAUUACUGGGUGUAAAGGGAGCGCAGGCGGGGAGACAAGUCCGCUGUGAAAACUAUGGGCUUAACCCAUAGACGGCAGUGGAAACUGUAUCUCUUGAGUGGAGUAGAGGCAGGCGGAAUUCCGAGUGUAGCGGUGAAAUGCGUAGAUAUUCGGAGGAACACCAGUGGCGAAGGCGGCCUGCUGGGCUCUAACUGACGCUGAGGCUCGAAAGUGUGGGGAGCAAAC
rnacentral:rRNA from 1 species